rnacentral:piRNA from 1 species
UGUGUGGUCCAAUAUCCUGUUCAGCCAGUGA